ensembl:lncRNA
UUUUUUUUUUUAAGACUGCACCUGCCGCAUAUGGAGGUUCCCAAGCCAGGGGUCCAACUGGAGCUGCAGCUGCUGAUCUAAGCCACAGCCACAGCAAUGCCAGAUCCCUAACACACUGAGCAAGGCCAGGGAUUGAACCCGCAUCUUCCAAGAGAAAUGUUGGGUCCUUCCAUCCCUUCUCACAGGCUACCUCCUGUUUCAGCUGCAGUGUAAUAUAGGCAUACCUCAGAGAUAGUGCAGGCUGGAUUCCAGGCUACAGAAGUGAAGCUAACACCGCAAUAAAAUGAGUCUCAUGAAUUUUCGGUUUCCCAGAGCAUAUAAAUCUUAUGUGUACACCGUAGCCUAUUGGCGUGCACUAGCAUUAUGUCUAAAAAAUGUACACUAACUUAAAAAAAAACCUUUAUUGCUAAAAAAGGCUAACCAUCAUCUGAGCCUUCAGAGAGUUGUAAUCUUUUUGCAAUAGUAACAUCAAAGAUCACCGAUCCCAGAUCACCAUCACAAAUAUAAUGAAAGGUGUUCCCGUCAUGGCGCAGUGGUUGACGAAUCCGACUAGGAACCAUGAGGUUGUGGGUUCGAUCUCUGCCCUUGCUCAGUGGGUUAACGAUCCGGCGUUGCCGUGAGCUGUGGUGUAGGCUGCAGACGCGGCUCGGGUCCCACGUUGCUAUGGUUCUGGCGUAGGCUGGUGGCUACAGCUCCGAUUCGACCCCUAGCCUGGGAACCUCCAUAUCCUGUGGGAGCGGCCCAAGAAAUAGCAAAAAGACAAAAAAAAAAAAAGAAAAAGCCUGGCAUGUCAUAAGAAUUAUCACAUGUGACACAGAGACGCAAAGUGAGCAAAUGCUCUUGGAAAAAUGGUGCCGACAGACUCACUCAACACAGGGUUGCCACAAACCUUCAUUUUGUUAAAAGAGAAAAAAAAGCAGAAUUUCCAUCACAGCUCAGCAGAAACAAAUCUGACUAGCAUCCAUGAGGACAAGGGUUCGAUCCCUGACCUCGCUCAGUGGGUUAAGGAUCCGGCGUUGCCGUGAGCUGCGGUGUAGGUCGCAUAUGCGGCUUGGAUCCCACAUUGCUGUGGCUGUGAUGUAGGCCAGUGGCUAUAGCUCCAAUUCGACCUCUAGCCUGAGAAACUUCCAAUGCUGUGGAUGCGGCCCUAAAAAGCAAAAAAAAAAAAAAAAAAAAAAAAAAAAAAGCAGUAUCUGUGAAGUACAAUGAAGGGAAGUAUGAGAAAACGAGGUCUGCCUGGAAUGGGUGGAGACCCAGAGAUGCCACCCAUGGCCUCUGCACCCUACACACUCUCCUAUCGCUCAGUUCUGAGAAAGCUGCAGUCUGUUGGGGAUUCAGGGUUCACAGGUGUGUGGCUCCUGGGCCCUGGGUGCCCACCCUGCGCGACUCCAGAGGGCUGCAGCUGUGUGACACACAGCACUGCUGUGACCAACCUGAGGCCCGUGGCAGCCAAGGCCGAUUUCUUUCCUGGCCUUUGCUCUCUGACACAUCUGAUCAAAUGACCUCUCAUGCUAGCUAGUUAUAGAAGCAGUGAGGUCAGAAUGGUCACUUCCAGGGAAUGCAGGGGUCACCUCAAGGUCAAGGGGUCAGUCCAGGAGAGGCUUCAGGACACCACGUGGCUAAGCAGGAGCAGGGGGUGGAGGGGACAAGGAGCUAGAUUCGGGUCACUAUGAUGAACCUGCUCCCUGCCACAGCAGUCUUGAGGUAGAGUGAGCUCCCCGUCACUAGAGGGUGUGCAGGCAGAGGCUCUAAGGAGGGGUUACAGGGAACCCCUGCACCAAACUAGAGCAGCCUUCUUUCUUGCUGUCCAGUGCUUCCAUCUGACACAUUAUGAGCACCUGCUUGGUGUCAGGCACACUGGCCUCACUGGUACUUGACCAGUGCAUAGAGACCCAGACCAAAAGGAGCCCCUACCCGCCCCCCCCCUUUGUUUUGCUUUUUAGGGCCGCAUUCUUGGCAUAUGGGGCAGUUCCCAGGCUAGGGGUCAGAUCAGAGCUACAGCUGCUGGCCUACACCAUAGCCACCGCAAGCCCAGAUCCGAGCCACAUCUGCAACCUACAGCUCACGGCAAUGCUGGAUCCUUAACCCACUAAGCAAGGCCAGGGAUCGAACCCGCAACUUCACGGUCCCUAGUCAGAUUCAUUUUCACUGCACCAUGACAGGAAUUCCCAGAAAUGAGCCCAUUUGAUCAGCCAACAUUGAACUAAUUUCACCCACUACUAUGGACAGAACUCUUCCCCCCACACACACAUCAAAUUCAUAUGUUAAAUUCCUAACCCCCCCAGUGUGAUAGUAUUUGGGGCCCUUGGAGGUAAUUCAGUUUAGAUGAGGUCAUGAGGGUGGGGCCCUUAGGGUGGCAUUAGUGCCCUCAUAAGAUGAGACACCAGAGAGCUCGCCCUUUCUCCCUUGCUCACUUUCUCUCUGAGGACACAGUGCGAAGGCGGCCAUCUACAAGCCAGGAAGAAAGCUCUCACCAGAAACGGACCGUGCUGACACCUUGAUCUUGCACUUGGAGCCUCCAGAACUGUGAGAAAAUAAACUUCUGUUGUUAAGCCACCCAGUCUACGGUAUCUUGUUGUGGGAGCCAGAGCUGAUGAAGACACAUCCCUGGUCUUCAAGCUCUAACCUAACAGUUGGGCAGGGCCCGCCUGAGGUCAGCAUCUUGUUCUGGCCCUACUGGUUCUGCCUCAGAGGGCAGGCUCUGGAGCAGGCGACAAGCUGGUCUAAAGAACAGGCUUGGGCUUCCCUGAUUUUCUCAAUCAUUUUCAAUUUCAUGGAUUUUCCUUAUUAUAAUUUCCUUCCUUCUGUGGGCUUUGGGCUCUGCAAAGACCUUAAAAAAUAAUCAUAUCUCAGCCAUAUUUGUUGUUAACCCAAUAUAAUCCCUAUGCCCGUAAAUAAUAUGAGGAAGCUGAGGAUCAGAAAGAGGUUAGGAAACUUGCCCAAUUCCCAAAGCUACUAAGUGACGGAGCCAGGAUGUAAGCCCAGGACUGUCUGUACUUCAUCUUUUGGGUGGUUUUUUUUUUUUGGUUUUUUUUUAGGGCUGCACCUGCGGUACAUGGAGGUUCCCAGGCUAUGGGUUGAAUCAGAGCUACAGCUGCCAGCCUACACCACAGCCACAGCAACGCCAAAUCCUUAAUCCACUGAGCAAGGCCAAGGAUCAAACCUGAAACCUCAUGGUUCCUAGUCAGAUUCAUUUCCACUUCACCACGAUGGGAACUCCUUUCUGUACUUCUUUUUUUUUUUUGUCUUCUCAGGGCUGCACCCAUGGCAUAUAGAGGUUCCCAGGCUAAGGGUCUAAUCAGAGCUGCAGCUGCCAGCCUACACCACAGCCACAGUGACGCAGGAUAUGAUGUGCAUCUAUUACCUACACCACAGCUCAUGGCAACGCCAGAUCCUUAACCCACUGAGCAAGGCCAGAGAUCAAACCCACAACCUCAUGGUUGGAUUCAUUUCUGCUGCACCACGAUGGGAACUCCUCCUUUCUGUACUUCUAACCACUGGAUGACACUGCCUCCAGGCCACCUAACUCCCAAACUAGAUCUUCUACCACACCAGCUACCUCCCCAAGCAUUGCCAAGGUCAGCGACUUCUCAGUCUACCUCGUGUCCAAGGCGGUAUUUCCUACCUUCCUUCCCCGUGACUAUCAGUCUUCCUCAAGGAGCCAAUCACAUUCUCCCAAUUCCCUUGACCAAAAAGCAAAGUGGGCCGGCUCGUACAAGGGUAUAACUUUCCAAGUUGCCAUGGCACUUACCUUGGACUUGGCUGAACUACAGGUGGUGGAAUCUGUUGGUAAGAAAUGAAAGAAAAAUUAAAGUUGGAUUGGGCGAGGGAAGGCUGAGUCUUGUGAACACAAUUCCCUCUCCUCAAAGGCUUCAGAAACCAGGGAGUUCAGACACCUGAGAUUGCCCCAGGUCCUGGGAGAGUGAAGGAUGGCAUACAGGGACAGACAGGGAGUGGGUGGGGCAGGAGGUAGAGAGCGUUGGUGGUUACAGCCUGGAGAGGUUCAACCUCCAGAAUCAGGGUCAGUCUGCUCUUAUGGGGAAAGACCUCUACUGGUUUGUUUCUUGCUUGUUUUUCUUUUUAUAUAUAGAGGUUCCCAGGCUAGGGGUUGAAUCAGAGCUGCAGCCACCAGCCUACACUGGCAGCCAUAGCAGUGCCAGAUCUGAGCUGCAUCUGUGACCUAUGCCACAGCUUGCAGCAAUGCCGGAUCCUUGACCCCCUAAACAAGGCCAGGGAUCGAACCCACAUCCUCAUGGAUUCUAGUUGGAUUCUUAACCUGCUGAGCCACAACGGAAACUCCGUAGGCCUCUGUUUUUAAUCAGAGUUAUGAAGAGAGGUGGCUCCCACUCUCUUAAUAUUGUUGGGGUACAGAAAGAACCGGAAGAACCAGAGACAAGUCCUGGCAGUGUUGUCUCCAGGACUGGGGAGGCCGACCCGAGGAUCUCCUGGGGUCUGAUGGGGCAGCGGGCAGGUGCGGUUAAUCCACACUCUCGGGCAAGCAAGUUAGAUGCCUCCUCCCCAGCUACCACCACCCAGCCCUCUGCCCCCGCCCCUGCCCCCGCCCACGGUGAGAAGAGCAGAUGGACUGACCACACAGCAACACACACGGGGCAGGCAGGAGAGUGGCAGCAGGUGAUUAGAAGAGACGGGGGGCUCCUUUCUGUCAUCUACACUCCCUGUUGUCCUUUGGCCCUCUCCCCAUACUGCCUCUUGCAAACUCAGGGUGCUGCAGCAUGCCUCUGUCACAGACAGAAGCGAUCAGAAUACUAAGGGCGGGUCACCCACUGAGUGGGAGGAGUUAGUGGCUGGAGACAAGCAGGGACUGGCUGUUCUUUGGUCCUUGGGCUACUCCCCUCUAAUAGGGCCAGAGGCCUGGGAGCAGGACCUAGGGGCUGAGGGCCCAGGGGCUCUGGUUUCGGAAGCAGGAAGAACCAGCACUUGGAGGCGGCUGAGGCAGGAGCUCCUGGUGUACGGAGGCCUCUGCGGGAACAUCCCUGGUAUCUGAAAAGGCCGGGUCCCACUACCAGCCCGAAGUGGCCGAGCUUGGGACAGAAGAAAGCCACAGAGUGUGGGGGACAGUGGGAGGACAGCCAGGCAGUGCCCAGACUUCCUGGCAAGGGGGAUCGGACUUGGCAAGCGCCUCCCUCCUGAGAAAAGGUUUUUCGCCAGGAGUGGGGUCGGGGUGCGUUGUUAUCAAGCAGGGGUGACUAGUGCAUCAGGGCCAGGUCCUCAGAGCCCCGGAUGGUUCUGCCUGCCCAGCCUUCUUCUAAUCACCCGCCACUGUUAGUGACCGCGGCCGCGAUGCCACACUGUACCCUUUAAAUCUCCAACAGGUCCGCUGGAGGAGGGAAGGGGGAGAAGAGAAGGGGCAGAAUCCAGGGGACGGGGGCAGAGCACAGGGAGAAGAGGGAGGCGGGUAGAGGGGUGCGAGGAGAAAAGAAAGAAAAAUUAAAAAGAGGAAUGUGCCCAGGACACAAAGCCCAUGAGAAAUCAAAGGCUCGGCAAAGAGACCAGUGAAGGAGGGCGAACAAGGCACCUGCCCGGCCCAGGGGUGGGGCGGCUGCACAGAUGAGGAGGGGGCGCGACACAGGCCGGGCCUCCCCAGAGAGGCAGAAGCCCCCACCACAGCCCACCCAGUCCAGGGGGGACCCACAGGGACAGAAGCGGGGAAGCUGGGCGUCUGGCCAGGCGUCUGGGACCCUCAGGAAGGCAGAUCCCACCCCCUCUCUGCCCUCCCCCAGGCCCCUCCACUCACCUGAACCUGGGUCCCCAGGGGGCACUGUCCUGCCAAUGUUAGGCAGGAGGUACUCGAUGUUUGGCACUGACUGGGGCUCCUUGUCGUCCACAGGGGUCUGUGAACAGAAGGAGUGUCAGUCAGCACCCCCACGGAACGGGGAGUCCCAAAGACAGGGCUCAUGUUCCCUCUGUCAGACUGGGGCUCAGCGGGGCAGGGACUAUGUCGCUCAUCAGUCAGGCACUCUUGAGGGCAGGUCCUACGUGCCCCCCAUUAGACUGUCUGGUGCCUUUUCCAACACCUCGAUUGAACCCCAAAGGCCCGCGCUCGGCUGAGGGCAGGAGCUGUAUCUCCCCCAUCAGACUGGACCUUCCUAAAACCUCUACCUUCCAUGUAAGACUGGAGGCUGGAGUCUGCCGCUGCUACUGGACUCAGUUUCUUUAGGACAAAUCUUUUAUCUCCCCCAUCAGACUGGGGGCUCAUGAAGGCGAAAAUUUUGUCCCCAUCAGACUGGAGGCUCCCGAGGACAAAGCCUUUGUCUCCUCCAUCAGACUUGGGGAUGUCGUCACGGCAGAGACCUUCACCCCACCCACCUGGGACGAGGGCCCACUUCAGGCCAGACCCCACCCCACAGGCCCUCUGCAAUACUCACUCUCUCUCCCUUGUCCUCGUUGUCACUGAAGAACCAGUCUGACUGCGGAGGAGACAAAAGGAAGUGAUGGCAUCAGCGUGGGAAGGAGCUGAGCGAAGAUGGGGAGAUACAGGCUCCCCACCUGCUCAGUUCAGACAACCUGCUCAGGCACCUGAUGGAAAAGUCUGGACUCCAGUGUCGAAAGGAAACACAGCCCGGAGUGGGAGAGGACACAGGAACAGGUGGGUGACUGGCUCAGGGAGAGCUUCUCUUUGCCUGUCUUUCGCUGACAGUCCGAGAGCAUCGCCAAGGCGGGCUCCCUAAUACAAACCAGAAGGGGACAGCAGCGCCAUCUAGUGCUGGCCAGGUUCACUGCAGGGAAAAGGCCAGCCCUGUGGCUCUACACUGACACAGGAGUGGUACCCUUUUCGCCCCC